rnacentral:rRNA from 1 species
CGACCCCAGGUCAGGCGGGGCUACCCGCUGAGUUUAAGCAUAUCAAUAAGCGGAGGAAAG